rnacentral:rRNA from 1 species
UACGGGGGGGGCAAGCGUUGUUCGGAAUUACUGGGCGUAAAGGGCUCGUAGGUGGCCAACUAAGUCGGAUGUGAAAUCCCCAGGCUUAACCUGGGAACUGCAUCCGAUACUGGAUGGCUUGAAUCCGGGAGAGGGAUGCAGAAUUCCAGGUGUAGCGGUGAAAUGCGUAGAUAUCUGGAGGAACGCCGGUGGCGAAAGCGACACACUGGACCUUGUCUGACGCUGAGGCACGAAAGCCAGGGGAGCAAACGGG